rnacentral:misc_RNA from 1 species
GAUGAAGAACGUAGCGAAAUGCGAUAAGUAAUGUGAAUUGCAGAAUUCAGUGAAUCAUCGAAUCUUUGAACGCACAUUGCGCCCGCCAGUAUUCUGGCGGGCAUGCCUGUUCGAGCGUCAUUUCAACCAUCAAGCCCCCGGCUUGUGUUGGGGACCUGCGGCUGCCGCAGGCCCUGAAAACCAGUGGCGGGCUCGCUAGUCACUCCGAGCGUAGUAAUACAUCUCGCUCAGGGCGUGCUGCGGGUUCCGGCCGUUAAAAAAGCCUUAUUUACCCAAGGUUGACCUCGGAUCAGGUAGGAAGACCCGAUGAACUUAAGCAUAUCAAUAAGCGGAGGA